rnacentral:rRNA from 1 species
AUGCAGCCGAGCGGUAGAGAUUCUUCGGAAUCUUGAGAGCGGCGUACGGGUGCGGAACACGUGUGCAACCUGCCUUUAUCAGGGAGAUAGCCUUUCGAAAGGAAGAUUAAUACCCCAUAAUAUAUUAAGUGGCAUCACUUGAUAUUGAAAACUACGGUGGAUAGAGAUGGGCACGCGCAAGAUUAGAUAGUUGGUGAGGUAACGGCUCACCAAGUCUACGAUCUUUAGGGGGCCUGAGAGGGUGAUCCCCCACACUGGUACUGAGACACGGACCAGACUCCUACGGGAGGCAGCAGUGAGGAAUAUUGGACAAUGGGUGNAAGCCUGAUCCAGCCAUCCCGCGUGAAGGACGACGGCCCUAUGGGUUGUAAACUUCUUUUGUAUAGGGAUAAACCUAGAUACGUGUAUCUAGCUGAAGGUACUAUACGAAUAAGCACCGGCUAACUCCGUGCCAGCAGCCGCGGUAAUACGGAGGGUGCAAGCGUUAUCCGGAUUUAUUGGGUUUAAAGGGUCCGUAGGCNGGAUCUGUAAGUCAGUGGUGAAAUCUCACAGCUUAACUGUGAAACUGCCAUUGAUACUGCAGGUCUUGAGUGUUGUUGAAGUAGCUGGAAUAAGUAGUGUAGCGGUGAAAUGCAUAGAUAUUACUUAGAACACCAAUUGCGAAGGCAGGUUACUAAGCAACAACUGACGCUGAUGGACGAAAGCGUGGGGAGCGAACAGGAUUAGAUACCCUGGUAGUCCACGCCGUAAACGAUGCUAACUCGUUUUUGGAUUUUCGGAUUCAGAGACUAAGCGAAAGUGAUAAGUUAGCCACCUGGGGAGUACGUUCGCAAGAAUGAAACUCAAAGGAAUUGACGGGGGCCCGCACAAGCGGUGGAUUAUGUGGUUUAAUUCGAUGAUACGCGAGGAACCUUACCAAGGCUUAAAUGGGAAAUGACAGGUUUAGAAAUAGANCUUUUCUUCGGACAUUUUUCAAGGUGCUGCAUGGUUGUCGUCAGCUCGUGCCGUGAGGUGUUAGGUUAAGUCCUGCAACGAGCGCAACCCCUGUCACUAGUUGCCAUCAUUAAGUUGGGGACUCUAGUGAGACUGCCUACGCAAGUAGAGAGGAAGGUGGGGAUGACGUCAAAUCAUCACGGCCCUUACGCCUUGGGCCACACACGUAAUACAAUGGCCAGUACAGAGGGCAGCUACACAGCGAUGUGAUGCAAAUCUCGAAAGCUGGUCUCAGUUCGGAUUGGAGUCUGCAACUCGACUCUAUGAAGCUGGAAUCGCUAGUAAUCGCGCAUCAGCCAUGGCGCGGUGAAUACGUUCCCGGGCCUUGUACACACCGCCCGUCAAGCCAUGGAAGUCUGGGGUACCUGAAGUCGGUGACCGUAACAGGAGCU